rnacentral:rRNA from 1 species
GGGAGGCAGCACAAGGAUAUUGUGCAAUGGGCGAAACUCGCACACAGCGACGCCGCGUGAGGGAAGACGGCCUUCGGGUUGUAAACCUCUUUUCUCAGGGAAGAAUAAUGACGGUACCUGAGGAAUAAGUCUCGGCUAACUACGUACCAGCAGCCGCGGUAAUACGUAGGAGGCGAGCGUUAUCCGGAUUUACUGGGCGUAAAGCGGGCGUAGGUGGCUUUUCAAGUCGGAUGUGAAAUCUCCCUGCUUAACGGGGAGGGGUCAUUCGAAAGUGUUGAGCUAGAGGGCAGCAGGGGGAGGUGGAAUUCCCGGUGUAGUGGUGAAAUGCGUAGAUAUCGGGAGGAACACCAGUGGCGAAGGCGGCCUCCUGGGCUGUUACUGACGCUGAGGCCCGAAAGCGUGGGGAGCGAACAGGAUUAGAUACCCUGGUAGUCCACGCUGUCAACGAUGGGCACUAGGUAUAGGGAGUAUCGACCCUCUCUGUGCCGAAGCUAACGCGUUAAGUGCCCCGCCUGGGGACUACGGCCGCAAGGCUAAAAACUCAAAGGAAUUGACGG